rnacentral:rRNA from 1 species
GAUGAGCGCUGGCGGCGUGCCUAAUACAUGCAAGUCGAGCGAACAGACGAGGAGCUUGCUCCUCUGACGUUAGCGGCGGACGGGUGAGUAACACGUGGAUAACCUACCUAUAAGACUGGGAUAACUUCGGGAAACCGGAGCUAAUACCGGAUAAUAUAUUGAACCGCAUGGUUCAAUAGUGAAAGACGGUUUUGCUGUCACUUAUAGAUGGAUCCGCGCCGCAUUAGCUAGUUGGUAAGGUAACGGCUUACCAAGGCAACGAUGCGUAGCCGACCUGAGAGGGGGAUCGGCCACACUGGAACUGGGACACGUUCCAGACUCCUACGGAAGGCAGCAGUGGGGAAUCUUCCGCAAGGGGCGAAAGCUGGACGGGGCAACGCCGCGUGAGUGAUGAAGGUCUUCGGAUCGUAAAACUCUGUUAUUAGGAAAGAACAAAUGUGUAAGUAACUAUGCACGUCUUGACGGUACCAAAUCAGAAGACCACGGCUAACUACGU